UACGAGGGGGGCAAGCGUUGUUCGGAAUUAUUGGGCGUAAAGGGCGCGUAGGCGGUGCGGUAAGUCACCUGUGAAAACUCUGGGCUCAACUCAGAGCCUGCAGGCGAAACUGCCGUGCUUGAGUGUGGGAGAGGUGCGUGGAAUUCCCGGUGUAGCGGUGAAAUUCGUAGAUAUCGGGAGGAACACCGGUGGCGAAGGCGGUUCUCUGGGCCUUACCUGACGCUGAGGAGCGAAAGCGUGGGGAGCAAACAGG
rnacentral:rRNA from 1 species